rnacentral:snoRNA from 1 species
AACCUAUGAUUUGGGCCUUUUCUAAGGAUCAUUUUGAAUCUCUCUCAUGCCUCACAAAAAGAUUCAUCUGCUCCUUGUUUCAACAUAGAGAUUUCAGACUUUACUUU